rnacentral:rRNA from 1 species
CCUACGGGAGGCAGCAGUGGGGAAUCUUGGACAAUGGGCGAAAGCCUGAUCUAGCCAUGCCGCGUGAGCGAUGAAGGCCUUAGGGUUGUAAAGCUCUUUCAGAUGGGAAGAUAAUGACGGUACCAUCAGAAGAAGCCCCGGCUAACUCCGUGCCAGCAGCCGCGGUAAUACGGAGGGGGCUAGCGUUGUUCGGAAUUACUGGGCGUAAAGCGCGCGUAGGCGGAUUGGAAAGUUGGGGGUGAAAUCCCGGGGCUCAACCUCGGAACUGCCUUCAAAACUCCCAGUCUUGAGUUCGAGAGAGGUGAGUGGAAUUCCGAGUGUAGAGGUGAAAUUCGUAGAUAUUCGGAGGAACACCAGUGGCGAAGGCGGCUCACUGGCUCGAUACUGACGCUGAGGUGCGAAAGCGUGGGGAGCAAACAGGAUUAGAUACCCCAGUAGUC